AUUGAACGCUGGCGGCAGGCCUAACACGUGCAAGUCGAGCGGAUGAAGGGAGCUUGCUCCUGGAUUCAGCGGCGGACGGGUGAGUAAUGCCUAGGAAUCUGCCUGGUAGUGGGGGAUAACGUCCGGAAACGGGCGCUAAUACCGCAUACGUCCUGAGGGAGAAAGUGGGGGAUCUUCGGACCUCACGCUAUCAGAUGAGCCUAGGUCGGAUUCGCUAGUUGGUGGGGUAACGGCCUACCAAGGCGACGAUCCGUAACUGGUCUGAGAGGAUGAUCAGUCACACUGGAACUGAGACACGGUCCAGACUCCUACGGGAGGCAGCAGUGGGGAAUAUUGGACAAUGGGCGAAAGCCUGAUCCAGCCAUGCCGCGUGUGUGAAGAAGGUCUUCGGAUUGUAAAGCACUUUAAGUUGGGAGGAAGGGCAGUAAGUUAAUACCUUGCUGUUUUGACGUUACCAACAGAAUAAGCACCGGCUAACUUCGUG
rnacentral:rRNA from 1 species